rnacentral:tRNA from 1 species
GGGCGUAUAGCUCAGCUGGCUAGAGCGCUGCCUUCACACGGCAGAGGUCCACAGUUCAAGUCUGUGUACGCCCA